ACAUGAAGGGCUGAUGGGACAAAGCAUCCCUCUCUGCAGAUCAUUCCCAAGCUCAGGUGCAGUGAGAUGGGGCAUGGAUUCCCUUGUACUAGGUACAACAGGAGGUAACACAAACACCUGAAAGGAGGGACGUAUUGUCAGUUAGCACUAUCACUGUUUUAGGAUGAGGUUUAUAACAAUCUUUGCAGACUGACUGAAUCACAGCUGUGGUUCCGUGGCCACCAUGGGUUGAAGAAGUUGUUAUGCUGAAAAUGAUGUGAAUGGACAUUAGUGAGCUCCUGCUAACCAAGGUGCUACUGCAUCAUUCUCCCUUCAUGAGCUGGAAGGUGAUGAAGUUAGGGGAAUAUGACCUGUAGCAGUUGUGUUGAAUGUGAAAAGUGCAGCGUGGUGCCUGUUGACUUUACUUACCUGACUGUUAUCUCUGAACUUCCUUGCAAUUAUAUGUAGUUUAAGAGGAAUUUCUCUAGAGAUCACAGAGAACCUUGUAGCUCACUGGAGCGAGCCAAGAAUACCAAGUUUCUGCUGUCUAUCAUAUCGUGCAGCAGAAGCUGGAUCCUUCCCUGUCACUCAGUUGUGAAGAAUGCCUCCUCCUUGUGUGCACACAUUUAUCUUCUGCUCAAAAGAAGCUGUUCCAGUUUCUCUGCCAUUCUGAGACAUCUGAAGCCCAGAAGAACUCCAUCACUGCAGCAGCUUGUCCAUGGGGGGCUGCUGCUGGGAUGUGCAGAGCUGGAAGGACA
rnacentral:lncRNA from 1 species